UACGUAGGGGGCGAGCGUUGUCCGGAGUUACUGGGCGUAAAGCGCACGCAGGCGGUGCUGCGCGUUUGGGGUUACAGCUCCCGGCUCAACCGGGAGAGCGCCUCGAAGACGGCAGCACUUGAGGGCCAGAGAGGGACACGGAACUCCGGGUGGAGUGGUGAAAUGCGUAGAUAUCCGGAAGAACACCAAAGGCGAAAGGCAGUGUCCUGGCUGGUACCUGACGCUCAGGUGCGAAAGCUAGGGGAGCGAACGGGG
rnacentral:rRNA from 1 species